UUUUUUUUUUUUUGUCAUAUGAGCUAAUGAACUUAAUUAUAUUUGCCUUUUAAUCCAUUGUAGUUCUUACCCUUCUUGAGGUAAUAUCCUUUGGCUAUUUGGGAGCCUCUUCUAGUUUGCUCCCCAGUCUUUUUUAUUUUUUUUUAAUUUUUAUUUAUUUAUGAUAGUCACAGAGAGAAGAGAGAGAGGCAGAGACAUAGGCAGAGGGAGAAGCAGGCUCCAUGCACUGGGAGCCCGAUGUGGGAUUCGAUCCCGGGUCUCCAGGAUCGCGCCCUGGGCCAAAGGCAGGCGCCAAUCCGCUGCGCCACCCAGGGAUCCCUCCCCAGUCUUUUUGAUAUGACCCUAGUUGCCUUUCAUAGAAAUCUCUCUUCAGAGCUGAAAUAUGAUCUCGAUGGGUGAUAUGGACCAUGAGAAAUAAGGCAUUUAUUUCUGGGGAUGCCUGGGUGGCUCUAUGGUUAGCAUCUGCCUCGGGGCGUGAUCCGGGGUCUGGCAAUCAAGUCCCGCAUCAGGCCCCCUGCAGGGAGCCUGCUUCUCCCUCUGCCUAUGUGUCUGUGUCUCUCAUGAAUAAAUAAAAACUUUGAAAAAAAGAAUAUUAUUUCUGAAGUAUUUAUUUUCUCUCCCCUGUAAUUUGAAUGUGUUACCUCCCCAAUGGGGGUCUUCCACACAGCUCCUGUCUCCUUCUGGACUUAAUGCUCCCAGCCCCUCUCUCCUUUAGGUCUACUGUCCUAGGGUCCCCUGCUGUGCUGGGGUCUUGAAAGGUAGAAAGUCAGUGUUGGAAAUGCCUUUGUGACCCCAGGAGGGGACAUGUAGUCCCAGGUGAGACCAGGUGAGUUUCACCAGGUGUCAGGCAGGACUGGGUCUGGGUUGACUUCGCAGGGGUGCUUAUCCUUCCAUCCUUCCUGUGAAGUUUAUAAAGUUCCAGCACAGCCUAAGUUCUUGAAACUGAGAAUUCUUCACAGAUCUCUAAUCUUAGAUAGCCUGAGGGCUCACAUCAACCUCAAGCACCUGCCUUAACUCUGUCUGAUCCUGCCUUUCCGGUCUCCUGAGAUUCUAGUCUCUGUCCUUACCCCUCAAGGAGUCAUUGGGCUAUCUGAAAGCGAGAAAUGGCUCUAAAUGACAAUCUGGGAUUUGAAACUUCACAUGCCAGCUCCUCCAUGCUGACACUUUAUGCCUACCUCUGCUUCUUUUCAUGAAGCACAACCCUUGUCUUCAUCCUUUCUAGAACACCUAACUACUUAUUUUUCUUUUUAAAAAAACUUUUUUUAUGGGGCACCUGGAUGGCUCAGUUGAUAGAGUCUGACUUCAGCUCAGGUCAUGAUCCUGGGGUCCUGGGAUCAAGCCUUGUGUGGAGCUUCCCUGCUUCUCCUCCCUCAGCCCCUCCUCCAAAUUGUGCUUGCUUGCUUGCACUCUCUCAAAUAAAUAAAAUCUUAAAAAAUAUAUAUAUAUAUAUUUUGUUCUGAUUUCAGAAUGAAGAUCUACACAUAAAAAUUCAAACAAUAUACAUUUUUGAAAAGUAAAUUAAGCCCACUCACUUCUCAGACCUCAAAUAGUCACCAUCAAAUAUCUGGUAUAUUUUCUUCCAGACCUACAUAAAAAUUUACAAAUAAAUGAUUUUUCUAUAAAUGCGUUUUUUACGAAUACAUUUUUUUCUAAAAAUGUGCUUUCCCGUACAUUUCUUUAUUCACUUAUUAAUUUAUUGUGAACUUUCUUGUGUUUAGAACAUCGAGGGAUCCCUGGGUUGCUCAGUGGUUUAGCGCCUGCCUUCGGUCCAGGGUGUGUUCUGGGAGUCCCGGGAUCGAGUCCCAUAUCAGGCUCCCUGCAAGGAACCUGCUUCUCCCUCUGCGUCUCUCAUGAAUAAAUAAAAAUCUUAAAAAAAAAAAAAAAAAAAAAAAAAGAACAUCAACAUCUUCUGUGUUCUAUUCAACAGCUUCAGCGUACCAUUGUUAUCAUAAAUUAGUGCCAUACUGAUGAAAUUGGGGUUGUCUCCAAUUUUUCAUCUUUCAAACAACACUGCAAUUAGCAUGCUUGUGCAUCUAGCUUUUCACACUUGUGUAACCAUUUACAUAGGAUAAUUUCCUGGAAAUCGAAUUUGAGUCAAAACUAUGUACAUUUAAAUUUUUAAUAAAUAUUAAAUUGACCUCCAGAAAAGAUGUGUUUACAUUUACACAAUGAGUCCGUUUUCCACCUAUACUUGCCAGACUGAUGCUAUGUUUUUUUUUUUUUCAGUUUUGUCUGACAGGUGAAAAGCAUUUUAUCAUUGCUUUGUUUCACAUCACUUGUGUUAUUAUGGUUGAUACAUGUUCAUUGAUAUUUCUGUUUCUUUGGUGAUUUAUCUGUUCAUGUCCUUUGAGUUCUUUUUUCCUUUUCUUAUCAACUCUCGGAUCUUUCUAAUAUACUGUAUCAAUCUUUUUCAUGUGUUAGAAAUCUUUUCCCAUAGGGUGCCUGGCUGAUGGAAUCAGUGAGCUCUUGAGUGUGUAGCUCUUGAUCUCAGGGUUGUGAGUUUGAGUCCCAUCUUAGGUGUAGAGAUUACUUAAAAAUAAAAUCUUAAAAAAUAUAUUUUCCCAGUUUAAUGUUUCUAGUUUGAGUUUGCCUUAUAGAAAUUUUAGCUAAGAACAUGAUCAAACUUAAAAGUCUCUCAGCAUUUUCUGGUUUUCAUGUCA
rnacentral:lncRNA from 1 species